UGAUUGUGGAAGCCCAGAGAGGAGGCACCAA
rnacentral:piRNA from 2 species